UAUCAUAAGAAUUUAAUUUUGGUUCCGAUUGAACGUUGUUCAGUAGUUUAAGACAUGCAAAUCAUUAUUUUCGACAAUAUUAUAUAUAAUUAUAUAAUAUUAUAAAAAAUAAGGUGUAAAGGUGAGGAUAAUAAAUAAGUUACUUUAUAAUUUCCAUAAAUAGGAAAUAAAUUAAAUAAUAACAAUUAAUUUAUAUUAAAAGAAAUUUUCUGUUAUAUAAAACUAUUUAUUUUGAUUAGGUAGUUGGUAAGGUAAAUGCUUACCAAGCCGACGAUCAAUAGCUAAGUUUGAGAGAACAUAUGGCCACAUUGGGAAUGAAAUCUUCCAAGUAGUUUAAUACUACCAGCAGUCGAGAAUAUUAGUCAAUGCUCGAAAGAGUGAACUAGCUAACUGAAAUCAAUUAUAAAAAUUGAUAACAUAAGAGAAAAUAAUGAUAUUACCUUAUUAUUAGUGUCGUCCAAAACUGGUGCCAGAAGACUCGGUAAGGCCAGAGACACAUACGUUAAUCGUCUUAAUCAGGCGUAAAGGGUUUGUAGGCGGCUUUUAAUAAAAAUAUAAAAUUAAUAAUAAAAGCUAGAAUCAAAAAGAGGAUAAAUCAAAAAAUGCUUAGAGUAGGUCUGAUAUCCUUAAAUACUAAGUAGAAUAUUAAAGGCGAAAGCUUUUUUCCAUUAAUGAUUGACGCUCAGAAACGAAGGUGAGGAUAGGAAAUAGGAUUAGAUACCCAAAAUACCCCUCUCUGUCAACGAUGAAUGGUAAUUAUUAAUAAUAAAUUUAUUAAUGAUAAUGUUAACACGAUAACCAUUCCGCCUUGUGAGUACAACUGCAAAGUUGAAAACAAAAAAAUUAGUCGGUUUCGGAGCAAACGAAGUGAAGCAUGUUAUUUAAUACGAUAAUCCGCGUAAAACCUUACCAGUUCUUGAAUAAAAACUUUUAUUUUUUAUAUUUUUAUAUAAAUUAUAUAAAGGAAUGUUUUAACUUUAAAAUAUUAAAUAUAUUUUAAAUAAUAAAUUAAACAUUUAAUACAGGUGUUGCAUGGCUGUCUUCAGUCCGUAUCGUGAGAACUGAGGUUAAUUCCGCUAACGGACGAAAUCCCUAUUGUUAAUUUAAUAAUUUUAUAUAUUAAUUACAUACUUAACAAUUAAUGAUUCUGAUAGAGUUUCAUUUGGGGCUAAGACAAGUCGUUAUGGCCCUUAUGAACUGGGCUAUAGACGUGCCACAAAAACUUUUACAAAGUGAUGCUAAACUUUUUCUUAAAAUGAAUUAUUUUUUUAAUAAAGAUAAAAUUUUUAUUUAUUAAAAUUUUAAUAAUUGAAAGAUUAAUAAUUCAGUUAAAUUUAAUGAUUAUUAAAAAAGUUAAAUUUGGAAAGUAGGAAGAGCUAAUCAUUAAAAAAAGUUAAAAUAUAAAAUUAGACGGAUUGUUUUCUGCAAUUCGGGAACAUGAAGAAGGAAUUUCGAGUAAUCGUUGAUAAUAAGCGCAACGGUGAAACUAGCAUCCGUGAUGAACUAACUGUCUGUCGCUGGGAAGAAGCUUAUAUUGAUGGAAAUGGAAAUAUAAUUAUAAAUUUUUCAUAGUAAAUUUAGAUUUAUAUAUAUUAUAAAUUUAAAUAGUUAUUUUAUUAUUUUUAAUAUUAUAGCGGCUAUGUUAAACUAAUUAGUUUUUAUUAAUUCAAUUGAGUAACAUCUCAAAAGUCAUAGCAAGGUAGCCGUACUGGAAAGUGCUGCUGGAAAAUAAAUUAA
rnacentral:rRNA from 1 species